UACGGAGGGUGCUAGCGUUGUUCGGAAUCACUGGGCGUAAAGAGCUCGUAGGCGGUCUGUCGCGUCUGCUGUGAAAACUCAGGGCUUAACCCUGAGCUUGCAGUGGGUACGGGCAGACUAGAGUGCGGUAGGGGAGACUGGAAUUCCUGGUGUAGCGGUGAAAUGCGCAGAUAUCAGGAGGAACACCGGUGGCGAAGGCGGGUCUCUGGGCUGUAACUGACGCUGAGGAGCGAAAGCAUGGGGAGCGAACAGG
rnacentral:rRNA from 1 species